rnacentral:rRNA from 1 species
GAGUUUGAUCUUGGCUCAGGAUGAACGCUAGCUACAGGCUUAACACAUGCAAGUCGAGGGGCAGCAUUUUAGUUUGCUUGCAAACUAAAGAUGGCGACCGGCGCACGGGUGAGUAACACGUAUCCAACCUGCCGAUAACUCGGGGAUAGCCUUUCGAAAGAAAGAUUAAUAUCCGAUAGCAUAUUAGAACCGCAUGGGUUUUAUAUUAAAGAAUUCGGUAUGAGAUGGGGAUGCGUUCCAUUAGUUUGUUGGCGGGU